rnacentral:rRNA from 1 species
AUUGAACGCUGGCGGCAUGCUUUACACAUGCAAGUCGAACGGUAACAGGCCGCAAGGUGCUGACGAGUGGCGAACGGGUGAGUAAUGCAUCGCAACGUGCCCAGUCGUGGGGGAUAACGCAGCGAAAGCUGUGCUAAUACCGCAUACGAUCUAUGGAUGAAAGCGGGGGACAGUAAGGCCUCGCUCUAUUGGAGCGGACGAUGUCAGAUUAGGUAGUUGGUGGGGUAAAGGCCCACCAAGCCAACGAUCUGUAGCUUGUCUGAGAGGACGACCAGCCACACUGGGACUGAGACACGGCGCGGGCUCCUACGGGAGGCAGCAGUGGGAAAUUUUGGACAAUGGGCGAAAGCCUGAUACAGCAAUGCCGCGUGCAGGAAGAAGGCAUUCGGGUUGUAAACUGCUUUUGUACGGAACGAAAAGGUCUGGGUUAAUACCCUGGGCCGAUGACGGUACCGUAAGAAUAAGCACCGGCUAACUACGUGCCAGCCGCCGCGGUAA